rnacentral:tRNA from 1 species
GGGCUCUUAGCGUAGUUGGUUAACGCGCCGCCAUGGCAUGGCGGAGAUCAUGGGUUCGAAUCCCGUAGAGUCCA